UAGGGAAUCUUCGGCAAUGGACGAAAGUCUGACCGAGCAACGCCGCGUGAGUGAAGAAGGUUUUCGGAUCGUAAAACUCUGUUGUUAGAGAAGAACAAGGACGUUAGUAACUGAACGUCCCCUGACGGUAUCUAACCAGAAAGCCACGGCUAACUACGUGCCAGCAGCCGCGGUAAUACGUAGGUGGCAAGCGUUGUCCGGAUUUAUUGGGCGUAAAGCGAGCGCAGGCGGUUUCUUAAGUCUGAUGUGAAAGCCCCCGGCUCAACCGGGGAGGGUCAUUGGAAACUGGGAGACUUGAGUGCAGAAGAGGAGGGUGGAAUUCCAUGUGUGGCGGUGAAAUGCGUAGAUAUAUGGAGGAACACCAGUGGCGAAGGCGGCUCUCUGGUCUGUAACUGACGCUGAGGCUCGAAAGCGUGGGGAGCAAACAGG
rnacentral:rRNA from 1 species